rnacentral:lncRNA from 1 species
UCUCGAUGAAAUCAUAAAGAACGCGAAAACUUCCGUUUCAUUUCAUGAAACAGAAGCCACAUUGAUUGAAUUGAUUGACAAUAUCAGUAAGAUAAGAAAUGCUCACAAAGAAAAUUUAACAGAUGUGUCUAAGAAAAGAAAAGCAAUCGAACUUGAAAUCCAGAAAACUCGUCUUUGGAUUGAUAAACAUCUGGAUAAGAUGCAGAAAACCCUUACAGAUGAAAUACACGGAGUGUGUGAUAAAGAAAGCGAAAAGUUACGCCUUUCGAUUAAAACUUUGGACGGAAUGGAACACGUUUUGUCAGAAUAUCAAAUGAAAAUAGUCAAUAUAAAAAAAUAUGCAUCGGAUAUUCAAGCUUUUAUGGGAAUAAAGAAGAUUGAAACAGAUGUUGAAAAAGAAGAAGAAUACUUGUUGUCAUAUAUUCCGGAGGGAAAAAUGAACAUCGUGACAAUCAACUGCAAAAUUGCAAAACCGAUACAAGAUUUUCUAAACAAAACAAACACCUUUGGGGAUGUAGGUAUAGAGACCACUACAAUAAGCUUUGCACUAUCGCACAAGAAAAGUAUGCAAGCUCAGAUGAUGCUACCUAAAGUACAUACAAUGUUAAUUGAGAAUAUAACAGCACUAUUGCAUAA